rnacentral:rRNA from 1 species
UAACGCGUGGGCAACCUGCCUUACACAGGGGGAUAACAGUUAGAAAUGACUGCUAAUACCGCAUAAGACCACAUUGCCGCAUGGCAGGGUGGUAAAAACUCCGGUGGUGUAAGAUGGGCCCGCGUCUGAUUAGGUAGUUGGCAGGGUAGAGGCCUACCAAGCCUACGAUCAGUAGCCGGCCUGAGAGGGUGGACGGCCACAUUGGGACUGAGACACGGCCCAAACUCCUACGGGAGGCAGCAGUGGGGAAUAUUGCACAAUGGGGGAAACCCUGAUGCAGCGACGCCGCGUGAGUGAGGAAGUAUUUCGGUAUGUAAAGCUCUAUCAGCAGGGAAGAAAAUGACGGUACCUGACUAAGAAGCCCCGGCUAACUACGUGCCAGCAGCCGCGGUAAUACGUAGGGGGUAAGCGUUAUCCGGAUUUACUGGGUGUAAAGGGAGCGUAGACGGAGGAGCAAGUCUGAUGUGAAAAUCCGGGGCCCAACCCCGGAACUGCAUUGGAAACUGUUUAUCUAGAGUGUCGGAGAGGCAAGUGGAAUUCCUAGUGUAGCGGUGAAAUGCGUAGAUAUUAGGAGGAACACCAGUGGCGAAGGCGGCUUGCUGGACGAUGACUGACGUUGAGGCUCGAAAGCGUGGGGAGCAAACAGGAUUAGAUACCCUGGUAGUCCACGCCGUAAACGAUGACUACUAGGUGU